GACGAACGCUGGCGGCGUGCUUAACACAUGCAAGUCGAACGAGUGGCGAACGGGUGAGUAAUACGUGGGUAACCUGCCCCCGUUGUGGAUAAAGCCUUGAAACCGGGGCUAAUACGGAAUAAAGGGGGAUGGGCUCGCGGCCUAUCAGCUUGUUGGGGGGGUGAUGGCCUACGCAGGCGGUGACGGGUAGCCGGCCAGAGAGGGUGACCGGGAACAUUGGGACGGAGAUACGGCCUAGGGUAGUACGGGGGGGAGAAGUGUGGGAUAUUGCAGAAUGGGUGAAGGCCCGAUGCAGCGUGGCCGCGUGGGGGAUGAGGGCUGUAGGGUUGUAAACCUCGUUCGCUAGCGAAUGGGUAGGUAGAGAAGAAGCGCCGGCUAACUCCGUGCCAGCAGCCGCGGUAAUAC
rnacentral:rRNA from 1 species